UUAUGUAAGUCUUCAGGGCUUUGUAAGAGCCCAUCAUAGUUUGCUG
rnacentral:tRNA from 1 species